GUAUAUGUCAUAAAAACGAAC
ensembl:piRNA 21ur-15572 ncRNA